rnacentral:rRNA from 1 species
GACAGAGGGUGCAAACGUUGUUCGGAAUUACUGGGCGUAAAGCGCGUGUAGGCGGCUCUGCAAGUCGGAUGUGAAAGCCCUCGGCUCAACCGAGGAAGUGCACCCGAAACUGCAGAGCUAGAGUCUCGGGGAGGAUCGUGGAAUUCUCGGUGUAGAGGUGAAAUUCGUAGAUAUUGGGAAGAACACCUGAGGCGAAGGCGGGUUGCUGGGCCGACACUGACGCUGAGGCGCGAAAGCCAGGGGAGCGAACGGG